rnacentral:rRNA from 1 species
GAUGAACGCUGGCGGCGUGCCUAAUACAUGCAAGUCGAGCGAAUGGAUUAAGAGCUUGCUCUUAUGAAGUUAGCGGCGGACGGGUGAGUAACACGUGGGUAACCUGCCCAUAAGACUGGGAUAACUCCGGGAAACCGGGGCUAAUACCGGAUAACAUUUUGAACCGCAUGGUUCGAAAUUGAAAGGCGGCUUCGGCUGUCUCUUAUGGAUGGACACGCGUCGCAUUAGCUAGUUGGUGAGGUAACGUCUCACCAAGGAAACGAUGCGUAGCCGACCUGAGAGGGUGAUCGGCCACACUGGGACUGAGACACGGCCCAGACUCCUACGGGAGGCAGCAGUAGGGAAUCUUCCGCAAUGGACGAAAGUCUGACGGAGCAACGCCGCGUGAGUGAUGAAGGCUUUCGGGUCGUAAAACUCUGUUGUUAGGAAGAACAAGUGCUAGUUGAAUAAGCUGGCACCUUGACGGUACCUAACCAGAAAGCCACGGCUAACUACGUGCCAGCCGCCGCGGUAA